ACAAGGACCAACAUUUAGACUUGGUCCUGCACCUGUUGCAGUAUUCAACAAACCUGUCUGCAUUUCAAGGCUGGAUAGAACCAGUAAACUCUGAAUUUAUUCCAAAUGCAAAUUAAAAACGGAAAUCUUGAAAUGUACAUAUUUAAUAAGGACCUGUAACUUUCCUUCUAGGGCUUCAUUCAGGACCACCCACAUGGAUAUGCAUGGUCUCUCCUCAAAUAGACUCCUUAAUUGGAUACAAAUAAUUUAUUGAACACAGGACUACCCUUAUGAGGACAGAACUGGCUUGAGAGUUGGAUUUUUUUUUUCCAACAAGUGUCAAGGAUGGACAAAGACAGAUUGCAACUCACCAGAUAUAUUGCCUGUUUCUCUUCAGACAUAACUGACAAAAAUCCAGAAAUAGCAAACUGUCCAAAAGGGAGGAGGAAAAAAAAAAAAAA